CCUUACCAAACGGACACAUGCCCGACCCCUACCCCGGGCACAGCUGACUGGACCAGCCGUGGAUGCCUGGCUCAGUCCAGGCCAGUCACGUUCUCCGUCCUGGGGACAAGUUAGCUGCAGGCACUGCACGUCAAGCUGUGUUUGAGAGGAGGAGGCCUGUGGGGGCCCCGUCUGGAGCAGGGGAGCAGGCAUGGAUGGAAAUGAAGCAGGGAGGCCCUCUCAGAGAGGAAAGAAGGCGGCUGCAGACAAGUAGAGAAGCAGGGUCAUCAGCCUUGGCAGCUUCUGGCCCUACACGUAUAAAACAGCCUGCUCAUCAAACAAUUCUCGACCUGCACCAGGGUUAGCACCCCUCACCCCUCACCCUACCUGCUCCCCGGAGGAGAAAGAACAACAGACGAAAAUAACCACGAUGUUGACAGAAUGGAACUUGAUAGUGUACAAUUGUAAAACAACUUCCAUUUUUUUCUCUCUCUCAGGACUGUCUGACAAAUCCAGUCUAUCAACCCUGUCUCCCCACCCACAGAUGGUAUCUCAGGCAGGUCCCUCCAUUUCUUGUCACUUUCAGGAAAUUAAAACCCCUUUGGUCACUGCUA